AGUACCUACCAACGCACUUUGACCAUCUUGAAAAGAAUUGAGAGUUAUUUUGUUGAUGAUAAACCACAGAUAUCCAAGGGUAAGAUUACUGGCAUUAACAUAUACGAAAUAUUUGUUUAUCUGAAGGUUUUACGACACUGUCUACUAUUUUUCAAAACCUCUUUUAUCUAAUAUUUAAUCUUGAGGGAAAUGCUAGCGGUUCCGGUCUUCUUCUCCUUGUAGAGUUCCUCAGAAUCAUGCUUGUCUGUGGUUCUGAUUUACUCCAAUCAUUUAGCAUCCCUGGAUUUUGGAUUCCUAAGCAGGUAACUUGGUGCCUUGUAUUUCUGUACAGUAUAGGUGGUUAUGUUAAUGAAUAAAAACAAGAAGGGAUAAUGUUUGAAUUCAUUGUGCUUUCUCAUUUUCAUAUGGUGGGUGUUGGAAUGUUGCUAUCAGUUCUAUUUACAGGCAUUGACAUCGGCUAUCACUAUAUGUAUUGCAGAUAUCUUUGAAUAAAUUAUGUCUAAAAUCACAGUUCACAUCAAAUGCUGAUGUUGUACAAUAUCAAAUAACACGUUUUAGGUAAGGACUAUAUGCAGAGAGUACGGCAUGGUUUGCAUUCGCAGAGAAGGGCAAGAUGUGGAGAAAAUUAUAUCUGAUGAUGAAAUCCUGAAAGCAAACAGGGGAUUGUGUUUCUAGAGGGUUGUCAAUAAAAUAUUUAACUACUGACGGGGUGAUAGAAUACAUUAGAGAAAAACAAUUGUACUUGAACUCAAUUGAGAAAUGAUAAUUUCUUGUUGUAUACGUAAUUCAUCAACCAUAUGAAUGCAUUCAACAAGGCAGUAAUAACUCAGCUGGUGACACAAUGCUUAAUUAAAAGCAUAGAUUGUGGAUGUCAUAUGAAUCGUUCCCUUAAAAUCUGCGAGCCAUUGAUUAGGCAUUCUUAUUUAUCAUGUGUUUGUGUUUGUGUUUGUGUUUUUCUUACUUUCUUUGACUUGCUUGUGUUUGUUGCAAGUGGCUCCUCUUUUGGAAUCUGUUGCAUGCAAGACUUCUCCCUCUGAAAAUUUUGCAAAGCUAAAUGGAGAAACGGUCUUCUUCUCCGAAGUUGGAUGGAUAGUCUAUCUCUGGGACACUAACAACGCUUGUUGGUUGUUUGGGUUGCUCUGGUCUCUGAUGAGUCCUACGAUGCCUUUAC